GUCCCACACCUGAAAACAGGAAGCAAGGGGAAGAUCCUGUUGAGAGGGUUGAGCCGUUACCCCGGUCGCGUGCCUGGGACAGCAGGCCCAGGAUGGGCGGGAGGAAGGCAGCUAAGGUUCACUAGCCGUGGGCGUGGCCCACGAGGGGAAGUGCUCUGUUGUUCUAGUAAAGGCUCCUUUCAGGUCUGCGGGGCGCGGAGGGGAGCUGAGCGCGGAGGACCACGGUUUGUGGAGUGCUCGUUACAAGACAGGGCCCCUGGUUGUCACAAGCACACCAGCCAGGGAGGUAUUACUGCCCCACUUUACAGAUGAGAAGGCUGAGCCGCAGGGAGGCCAGGAAGCUUGCCCAAGACCGAUCACGAAGUCAUUUACGCUGAGCAGACAGGAGGUAUGCCAGGAGCCACCCUCCUGGGACAGCCACUCCCGUUCUCCCUCCUCCAGCCAUGGCCCUCCCCGAGGUGGUGCCUCCGGAACGAGGCACCGGGAGGACAGCUGGUCCAGGUGGGGCCCCUGCCCUGCCUGGGCGCAGGGCACAGGGCACAGGGCACAGUGAGGACACCGCCUCCUGUGGAGUGGGGGCCUCUUACCGAACUUACCGCACGCAGGGCCCUGACCACGUCGGAUCUUUGUAACAAGUGAGUGCGGCGGGUGCCGUUACAAACUUCCCUCACCACCGUGAAAAGGAAGCUAAAGUGACCCCCCCCUUGGGGCCUGCGCUCCCCCUUCGGGCGCGGCCAUCAGGCCUGCAGUGCUGCCUCUCUGAGGAGGCAGGAGCCAGUCACAACAGCGCCCUCCCAAUGUCUGUGUCCUCGAGAAGCUCUCUCUUGGGUGCCCAGGCCCGGGCCGGGGAGGGAGCACCGUCCAUCAGCCACUUUGGGAUUCACCCGGAGCACUGCCCCUGCCCCACUCUCCUCCCUCCUUAGGUCACUUCUGUGGGAUGAACAGUGAUGGCGAAGGUACCCAGUGGGCAGCUGUGCCCGCCCAACAAGUGUGGUUCUUAGCCGGUCACCGGGCACAGCACCGAGACCUGUCUGCUGGCUCCUUCGCUGGGGCAGCCGCACUGGCCAGAGCCUCCCUGGCUUCCUGGUGGGUAACGUGGGGUCGCCGUGUGUCAGGGGUCGUGGCCCAGAGCCCGGCACCCAGCACGGCUCCAACAGGGUGCCCACUGCUCUCAGCCCUGCGGUCACCGUCCGCUUCUCCCAGGAACUGAAAAUCGGCUCAAGCUCCGGACAGACCGGUGGACUUGGGUCCCAGCCACAGCUCAGGGGAGGGAAGUACUCGGAUGUCCCUCUUUCAGAAGCAUAAGACCCUCCCAGGGCGUGCUGGCAGCUUUUAAAGCUUUCAAGGGACCCCCUUCGGGAAGAACCUGACACAGUAAAGCAGGUCUGAGGCUGGGGCCCAAGGAAAAGAAAAGCAGCCACUUUUUCUCCCGCUCUGUCUUUAAAUCUCCUUUUCUCAGAAAGUUUAUGCUAACUGAACCUUAUCAGGAGCCCAAGCUACUUUGCUGGCUUUCAAGUGAUGGAAAAGACACGGGGUUUUCAAAGUCAGACAAUCUGGAUUUAAAGACAGGUCUGUGGCUGCUGCGUGACUACAGGAUGGCGAGGAGAUCAAAGGAACGAAAUCAAUCUGUGGACGAUGAAGCCCCAGGCAAACGUGAGCAGCCACGAUUUGCUGCGAAGAAAUGCUCAACUGCAGAAAGCAGAACCUCGGGGAAGGCGUGUGUGUGAAUCCCCUCCCUCCAUUCUAGCGGUCUCUGUGUCCCUGUGUCAUGCCAUCACGAGCCACUUGUCACCUUUUGGGAAGGAGGCAAAGUACAAAAACGAAGGAGACAGCUCCAGGGAGAGACAUGUGGGGGCAAGGGUCACGUGCAGGUGGCCUUCUCAGGCCACCUCAGAGGCGAGGCCCAGCAGCCCCGAAGGCCGCUCUCCCCCGGCCUCCGUUACGCAGCCGGCACGGUGCGCCCUGGACAGAGGGGAGUCUGCUCCCCAAAAUGCCCCCUGGAAUCCUCCGGUUUUAUACCUUCAGCCUCAGAGCGGAAGCCUGAGUUUUGUUCCCUACAGAAUUUUUAGAAACAGAACAGCUUUUUGAAACUUUUCCUCCCUACCUACCAGUUUACC